AACCUGGUUGAUCUUGCCAGUAGUCAUAUGCUUGUCUCAAAGAUUAAGCCAUGCAAGUGAAAGUAUAUGCACAUUUAUUGCAGAAACUGCGAACGGCUCAUUAAAACAGUUAUAAUCUACUUGACAUUUUAUUAUAAGGAUAACUACGGAAAAGCUGUAGCUAAUACUUGUUAAGUACUUUUACUCCCCGGAGUAAUUGUAUGUAUUUGUUAAGACCCCUAAGAAAAAAUGAUAUUAAAGGAAUUAUAACAAAGAAGCAACACAUAAUAUAAUUAUUCAGUGUGUAUCAAUCGAGUUUCUGACCUAUCAGCUUUUGAUGUUAGGGUAUUGACCUAACAUGGCUUUGACGGGUAACGGGGAAUUAGAGUUCGAUUCCGGAGAGGGAGCCUGAGAAAUAGCUACCACAUCUAAGGAAGGCAGCAGGCGCGUAAAUUACCCAAUUCUAAAUAAGAGAGGUAGUGACAAGAAAUAACAAUAUAAGGCCAAAUUUUGGUUUUAUAAUUGGAAUGAUGGGAAUUUAAAACCUUCCCAAAAAUCAAUUGGAGGGCAAGUCUGGUGCCAGCAGCCGCGGUAAUUCCAGCUCCAAUAGCGUAUAUUAAAAUUGUUGCAGUUAAAACGCUCGUAGUUGAACUUCAAGGGUAUAAUUAUUUUAAGCAACUCACUUGGAAAGAAUCAUGACUUCUGUCACUGCUUUUAUCCUUGUUGCAGUUCUUUUAAUACAGGGCCCUUUGAGAGCCCAUUAAUUUAUGACUGGGUUUCUCGUUACUUUGAGUAAAUUAGAGUGUUUAAAGCAAACAGAUAAAGCGUAUUUUACUGUGUUUGAAUACUAUAGCAUGGAAUAACAACAUUGAAUAGGUCAAAAGUUUUUGAAAAACUUUUCUUAUUUUGGCUUAGAUACAGUUAAUAGGAGUAGCUUGGGGGCAUUUGUAUUCAGAUGUCAGAGGUGAAAUUCUUAGAUUUUCUGGAGACAAACAACUGCGAAAGCAUUUGCCUAAAAUACUUCCAUUAAUCAAGAACGAAAGUUAAGGGAGUGAAGACGAUCAGAUACCGUCGUAAUCUUAACCAUAAACUAUGCCGACUAAGUGUUGGAUGAAAAUUUAUAAAUAAAACUAUCUUCUUUAAAGGAGUAGUUUUUUAGAUGCUUCUUUCAGUACCUUAUGAGAAAUCAAAGUCUUUGGGUUCUGGGGCGAGUAUUCGCGCAAGCGAGAAAGUUAAAAGAAUUGACGGAAGGGCACCACCAGGCGUGGAGCUUGCGGCUUAAUUUGACUCAACACGGGGAAACUCACUAGUUUAAGACAAGAGUAGGAUUGACAGAUUAAUAGCUCUUUCUUGAUUUCUUGGAUGGUGAUGCAUGGCCGUUUUUAGUUCGUGAAUAUGAUUUGUCUGGUUAAUUCCGAUAACGAACGAGAUCUUAACCUGCUAAUUAGCGGCGAGUACUCUAUAUCCUUUAUUGGGAGAUUGGUUUUGACGUUUAUGUGGGCAUAUUGAUUAAUCAAUUGGUUUACCUUUUGCUCUUUUUCAUUAUGAUUCUUUCGUUUACGACAUGCCUUUUUUCUAGUAAGGAUGUAUUCGCUUUAUUUAAUGCUUCUUAGAGGAACGAUGUGUGUCUAACACAAGGAAGUUUAAGGCAACAACAGGUCUGUGAUGUCCUUAGAUAUACUAGGCUGCACGCGUGCUACACUGAUAUGUAAAACGAGUAUUUAAAAUUAUAUCUGUAUGGUAGAUAAUUUAAUUUCUACGUAUUAUCAGCAUAUACUUUUCCUACACUGAAAUAGUGAAGGUAAUCUUUAUCAAUACAUAUCGUGAUGGGGAUAGAUUAUUGCAAUUAUUAAUCUUGAACGAGGAAUGCCUAGUAAGCAUGAUUCAUCAGAUUGUGCUGACUACGUCCCUGCCCUUUGUACACACCGCCCGUCGCUCCUACCGAUUGAAAGAUAUGAUGAAUUGUUUGGACAAGAAAAUAGAAAUUUUAUUUUUAUUUUUUUUGGAAGGACCGUAAAUCCUAUCUUUUAAAGGAAGGAGAAGUCGUAACAAGGUUUCCGUAGGUGAACCUGCGGAAGGAUCAUUUUUA
rnacentral:rRNA from 1 species